rnacentral:rRNA from 1 species
AAUAGAUACCCCGGUAGUCCACGCCGUAAACGAUGGAUGCUAGUUUUUACCCAUAUCGACCUGGGUAGAAACGAAGUUAACGCGUUAAGCAUCCCGCCUGGGGAGUACGAGCGCAAGCUUAAAACUCAAAGGAAUUGACGGGGACCCACACAAGCGGUGGAGCGUGUUGUUUAAUUCGAUGAUAAGCGAAGAACCUUACCCAGGCUUGACAUCCUUGGAAGCACUGCGAAAGCAGAGUGUGCCUUUUGGAACCAAGUGACAGGUGUUGCAUGGCCGUCGUCAGCUCGUGUCGUGAGAUGCUUGGUUAAGUCCAUCAACGAGCGCAACCCUUGUAGUUAGUUGUAUUUUUCUAGCUAGACUGCCCCGGCAACGGGGAGGAAGGAGGGGAUGGAUGUCAGGUCAGUAUUACCCUUACGUCUGGGGCUACAAACACGCUACAAUGGCCGGUACAAAGCGCAGCCAACCCGCGAGGGGGAGCAAAUCGCAUCAAAGCCGGUCUCAGUUCGGAUUGCAGGCUGAAACUCGCCUACAUGAAG